GACGAACGCUGGCGGCGCGCUUAACACAUGCAAGUCGAACGGAAAGGCCCUGCUUUUGUGGGGUGCUCGAGUGGCGAACGGGUGAGUAACACGUGAGUAACCUGCCCUUGACUUUGGGAUAACUUCAGGAAACUGGGGCUAAUACCGGAUAGGAGCUCCUGCUGCAUGGUGGGGGUUGGAAAGUUUCGGCGGUUGGGGAUGGACUCGCGGCUUAUCAGCUUGUUGGUGGGGUAGUGGCUUACCAAGGCUUUGACGGGUAGCCGGCCUGAGAGGGUGACCGGCAACAUUGGGACUGAGAUACGGCCCAGACUCCUAAGGGAGGCAGCAGUGGGGAAUAUUGCACAAGGGGCGCAAGCCUGAUGCAGCAACGCCGCGUGCGGGAUGACGGCCUUCGGGUUGUAAACCGCUUUCGCCAGUGACGAAGCGUGAGUGGCGGUAAUGGGUAAAGAAGCACCGGCUAACUACGUG
rnacentral:rRNA from 1 species